AGCGAACGCUGGCGGCAGGCCUAACACAUGCAAGUCGAACGAACUCUUCGGAGUUAGUGGCGGACGGGUGAGUAACGCGUGGGAACAUGCCUUUUGGUUCGGAAUAACUCAGGGAAACUUGUGCUAAUACCGAAUGUGCCCUUCGGGGAAAGAUUUAUCGCCAUUAGAGCGGCCCGCGUCUGAUUAGCUAGUUGGUGAGG
rnacentral:rRNA from 1 species